GUACUGUGCAAACGUUAUUCGGAAUCACUGGGCUUAAAGGGUGCGUAGGCGGCCGGCUAAGUAGGGUGUGAAAUGCCUCGACUCAACCGAGGAACUGCGCUCUAAACUGGCUGGCUUGAGUGAGAUAGGGGUGUGUGGAACUUCCAGUGGAGCGGUGAAAUGUGUUGAUAUUGGAAGGAACGCCGGUGGCGAAAGCGGCACACUGGGUCUCAACUGACGCUGAGGCACGAAAGCCAGGGGUAGCGAACGGGAUUAGAUACCCCGGUAGUCCUGGCUGUAAACGAUGAGCACUAGACGGGAGGGAUUUCGGUCCAUCCGGUCGUAGCGAAAGCAUUAAGUGCUCCGCCUGGGGAGUAUGGUCGCAAGGCUG
rnacentral:rRNA from 1 species